rnacentral:rRNA from 1 species
UACGUAGGGUGCAAGCGUUAAUCGGAAUUACUGGGCGUAAAGCGUGCGCAGGCGGUCCGUUAAGACAGAUGUGAAAUCCCCGGGCUUAACCCAGAGCCUGCAUUCAAUACUGGCGGGCUAGAGUUCUGGAGGGGAUAGCGGAAUUCCUGGUGUAGCGGUGAAAUGCGCAGAUAUCAGGAAGAACACCCGUGGCUAAGGCGGCUCUCUAGUACGGUACUGACGCUGAGACGCGAAAGCGUGGGGAGCGAACAGG